rnacentral:rRNA from 1 species
UGAUUCAGGGCAGGAUCCUGGCUCGCAGCGUUCCUUACCCACAACUAGAACGAACGAACGAAAGCAUGCUUCUUCUUGUUUCACGGGGGAGGGUGAGUAACCCAGUAUUACCUACCAAUCUACCUGGGAUAACUUCGGGAAACCGGAGCUAAUACCCGAAUAAUAUUUCACCGCACGGUUCAAAAGUGAAAGACGGUGGAGCUCUCACUUAUAGAUGGGUCCACGUCGCAUUAGCUAGUUGGUAAGGUAAAGGCUCACCAAGGCAACGAUGCAUAGCCGGCCUGAGAGGGUGAUCGGUCACACUGGAACUGAGACACGGUCCAGACUCCUACGGGAGGCAGCAGUAGGGAAUCUUGCGCAAUGGGCGAAAGCUGACCCAGCACCGCCGCGUGAGUGAU